UUUAAUUUGCAUUUCCUCGACUCAACUAAUUAUUCUUGUCACGCCUGUUGCAAUUUAAUAUCAAAUUCCACUUCCUCGUGUGUCACAUAGUUUUAUUUAAUGCUUCCGCGUUGUUCUCAAGUCAACCAAAAGUCAAGAGAAUGACUAAAUUAGUGAGAUUCCAUUUUGGAAGAGAACCAGGGGAGGCAGGCCCGUAUCAUGAAAUACUGCAGGACUCAAGAGUACGUGGCCCGUCACAAACCUGUUUGACGUAUUUCCGUUCAGCGGCCGAGCGGGCGAACGCCAGGCGAACGGUGUAAAGCAGCAAACCGGGCAGCCGCAACAGGUCCAUGGCCGAGCCCACCAGCGC